rnacentral:rRNA from 1 species
UACGGGGGGGGCAAGCGUUGUUCGGAAUUACUGGGCAUAAAGGGCUCGUAGGCGGCCAACUAAGUCAAACGUGAAAUCCCUCGGCUUAACCGGGGAACUGCGUCUGAUACUGGAUGGCUUGAGUUUGGGAGAGGGAUGCGGAAUUCCAGGUGUAGCGGUGAAAUGCGUAGAUAUCUGGAGGAACACCGGUGGCGAAGGCGGCAUCCUGGACCAAUACUGACACUGAAAAGCGAAAGCCAGGGGAGCAAACAGG